AUUGAACGCUGGCGGCAGGCUUAACACAUGCAAGUCGAGGGGUAUAGUUCUUCGGAACUAGAGACCGGCGCCCGGGUGCGUAACGCGUAUGCAAUCUACCUUUUGCAGAGGGAUAGCCCAGAGACAUUUGGAUUAAUACCUCAUGGUAUGUGAGAAUGGCAUCAUUGUCACAUUAAAGUCAAAACGGCAAAAGAUGAGCAUGCGUCCCAUUAGCUUGUUGGUAAGGUAACGGCUUACCAGGGCAACGAUGGGUAGGGGUCCUGAGAGGGAGAUCCCCCACACUGGUACUGAGACACGGACCAGACUCCUACGGGAGGCAGCAGUGAGGAAUAUUGGACAAUGGGCGCAAGCCUGAUCCAGCCAUGCCGCGUGCAGGAUGACGGUCCUAUGGAUUGUAAACUGCUUUUGUACAGGAAGAAACACUGAUUCGUGAACCAGCUUGACGGUACUGUAAGAAUAAGGAUCGGCUAACUCCGUGCCAGCCGCCGCGGUAAGAC
rnacentral:rRNA from 1 species